CCUACGGGAGGCAGCAGUGAGGAAUAUUGGUCAAUGGACGAGAGUCUGAACCAGCCAAGUAGCGUGAAGGAUGACGGCCCUAUGGGUUGUAAACUUCUUUUAUAGGGGAAUAAAAUGUGCCACGUGUGGGAUUUUGUAUGUACCCUAUGAAUAAGGAUCGGCUAACUCCGUGCCAGCAGCCGCGGUAAUACGGAGGGUCCGAGCGUUAUCCGGAUUUAGUGGGUUUAAAGGGCGCGUAGGUGGUGUGUUAAGUCAGUUGUGAAGGUUUGCGCCUCAACCGUAAAAUUGCAUUUGAAACUGGCAGUCUAGAGUACAGUAGUGGUGGGCGGAAUUCGUUGUGUAGCGGUGAACUGCUUAGAUAUCACGAAGAACUCCGAUUGCGAAGGCAGCUCACUGGACUGCAACUGACACUGAGGCUCGAAAGUGUGGGUAUCAAACAGGAUUAGAUACCCCUGUAGUC
rnacentral:rRNA from 1 species